UACGUAGGGUGCAAGCGUUAUCCGGAAUUAUUGGGCGUAAAGAGCUCGUAGGCGGUCUGUCGCGUCUGCUGUGAAAACUCAGGGCUUAACCCUGAGCUUGCAGUGGGUACGGGCAGACUAGAGUGCGGUAGGGGAGACUGGAAUUCCUGGUGUAGCGGUGAAAUGCGCAGAUAUCAGGAGGAACACCGGCGGCGAAGGCGGGUCUCUGGGCCGUAACUGACGCUGAGGAGCGAAAGCAUGGGGAGCGAACAGG
rnacentral:rRNA from 1 species